AUUGAACGCUGGCGGCAGGCUUAACACAUGCAAGUCGAGCGGAGAUGAGGUGCUUGCACCUUAUCUUAGCGGCGGACGGUUGAGUAAUGCUUAGGAAUCUGCCUAUUAGUGGGGGACAACAUUCCGAAAGGAAUGCUAAUACCGCAUACGCCCUACGGGGGAAAGCAGGGGAUCUUCGGACCUUGCGCUAAUAGAUGUGCCUAAGUCGGAUUAGCUAGUUGGUGGGGUAAAGGCCUACCAAGGCGACGAGCCGUAGCGGGUCUGAGAGGAUGAUCAGCCACACUGGGACUGGGACACGGCCCAGACUCCUACGGGAGGCAGCAGUGGGGAAUAUUGGACAAUGGGCGGAAGCCUGAUCCAGCAACGCCGCGUGUGUGAAGAAGGCCUUUUGGUUGUAAAGCACUUUAAGCGGGGAGGAAGCUACGUGGAUUAAUACUGUAGGAUAGUGGACCUUACUCGCAGAACAAGCACCGGCUAACUCUGUGCCAGCAGCCGCCGUAAAAC
rnacentral:rRNA from 1 species